AUGGAUUGGGCGCACCCUGCCUCCGAAGAAGAGGCCAGCCGUCGGCGGGACAUCGAGCGUAGCAGAGCGGAGGCCCGACGAAAGGUGGAGCAGAUGGCGGACACUGUGCAGUUCAACGACCCCUGGAUCCAUCACUCGGACGUGACCAAGUCCCCUGAGGAGCUGCUCCAAGCAAGACAGCAAGCAUGGCGUUAUCAAGCUCACCGCAUCGAGAUGGCUCGUCGACGGGACUUUGCUCAGGCGAUGCAAAUCCACGGAUGA
rnacentral:rRNA from 1 species